rnacentral:rRNA from 1 species
UCCGGGAUGGUGGGGACACUGUUGGGACCGCCUCUGGCUAAAGAGGAGGAAGGAAUGGGCAACGGUAGGUCAGCAUGCCCCGAAUUAUCUGGGCUACACGCGGGCUACAAUGGGUGGGACAAUGGGUAUCGACGCCGAAAGGUGAAGGCAAUCUCCUAAACCCAUCCGUAGUUCGGAUUGUGGGCUGCAACUCGCCCACAUGAAGCUGGAAUCUGUAGUAAUCGUGUCUCAAAAUGGCACGGUGAAUAUGUCCCUGCUCCUU